UCUUGGCGUGUACAGCUGUCGGCACGUGCAAACCAUGAUGCAUAGGGCAUUGUGAGGUUUUGAAGCACUGUGCACAACUGGACAGAAAGUCCGGUGCACUGAAACUUUCCAACCCACGUUUAAGGGCAGGCAAUAUCACAUGCAGACAUGUCCACCUUCAUCCUGUCAUCCUCGCAACGCACUCGGGCUCUGUUCGAGAGGGCAUGCGGAGCUGUUGAACACUGCUGCGAAGCCUGGGAUGGAGAGGCUGGCUGCCGGACGAACCUGCGCGCGGCAGCAGGACUCGGCUCCCUGUCGUAAAUCCGGGCAAUCUCAGAAACGGCUCUCCGCGAGUUAUCACAAUUUCACCGGUCCCAACAUCUGGCCACCCCUAACUUCCUUGAUUGCAGUUCUAUGAAUGAGUACGCGUAGGGCGUGGUUGAAAUAACAGGUAAUUAAACAACCACACUGCCUGUAGCACCGGGACCCGCCUGAUCGACACAAUUCGGGUAGCUUUUGCGGCUCUCCCGCACGACAUGUGAAGGCCGCUUGCACCAGAUUCCGGAGCCGCCUCAAAGCAGCUGUAGAUCCAAAGUGCGGCUUCUUCGAGUGGUCUCGCUUUCUCAUCUUUAAGUUCUUUUUUCCCGAGUGUCCCAUAGAUUCGGUUUUGCUUACUAUGGUCACUUUUUAUUUUUCACCAACAAGUGUCAAAUUUACCCCGAACACACUGCAAAUAUCCCAACUGCAAGAAAUGUAAGCCGUCAAGGGCGCCAUUCCUUUAAUAAAGCGAAUAUCUAUAGCUUU